rnacentral:misc_RNA from 1 species
GAAAUUUUUUAUGUAUUCAAAAUUUAAAUCUUUAUAAAAAAAUUUUUUAUUUAUAUAAAAUAAAAAAAAAAGA